UCUCUUUGUUAUCUUCACAUGCGCUCACUCUCUCUCCAAUCAAAAACCCUAACUCUCAUUUUCCUUCAAUGAUCGCCUCUUUAGUCUUUUCUCAACACAAACCCUAAUAUUCUCUACUGAUCAAUGGCGAUUUUCAGAAAAUCCUAAAUCUCAACCGAUCGAGCCAUGAAACUCCAUCCUUCCGAUUUCCAUCUAUCCCUACCGAAACCCUAACUGCGAUGCAAUGAGAUGAAGAACAUAAUCAAAUCCAACCGAUCGAUCUUCUGAUACAAGGUGAAAUUGGGGAUGGGCCGCUUUGUUUCUUCUAACCCGUCGAUUUCUACCGGCAACAGAACUACCAAAUCAGCCUCUCAUCCGUUGAUGUCUGCCACUGUUAAAUCGUCUGGAUUUACGGGCAGUCGUUGUUAUGUCUUUGAGAGAUCCAAACACUCCAACUAAAGGUCAGGUAUCAGUGUUGAAAUAGAAGAAAUGGUGUGUGAGGUUUUAAUGUUAUCUCAAGUUGAUGUUAAAGUUGAACCAGGGUAAAAAGUGUUUAUAAUUAAUAAUGCAUUUUACACACCGGAAACAUCGUUAAAUUUGAAGCUCAGAUUCAAUUUGGAGCUUGAUGAACAAGGAUAAGGUGGAAUCAGUGGCCUCGAGCUUAGAUUCUUCCGAGGCGAUGAAUCAAAAGUUAAUCAAAGCAUAAUAUGGUUCAGAUCUAAAAAACGGGGUGGUCAAAGAAGAUGACGGUCAAAAGGGUUCAUUCGGAUUUGAUUUUGUUCACUUCUAAGGUUAGUUCUAUUAUAACUAUGUGCUUCUAUUUCUUUUCAAAUCUUUUUCUAACUAUGUGUUUCUAUUUCUUUUUAAAUAUAAUUUAAGGUUUUUGAUAAAUGAUGAUUAGUUUCGGAUUUGAUUGGAUUUUUGGGUUAUUAGUUCAAAUAUUUUAUGUUUACAUGUUGUUUAGUUUUGUUGUUAAUGUAUUAUAACGCUGUUUAGUUCAAGCAAAAUGCUAUAGGAUUGAAUCUCGAUUGGAAUUGAAAUUGACUUUCUUUUCAUUUUGUAUUUUUUGUUGGUUAAUUUCACAUUGAGCAGAUAUAUUUUGUGUUUUUUUUCCUUAUUUGGUAAUGAAUUUGUUCCACUACUAGCAAAAUAUUCAUGCAUUGCAGCACACCAUCAAAUGAGUACUGGAGUAACCCGACACUUCCUCUUGCAAAAAUGUUGAAACUCCGACAUGCUUACCAGAGCUCUCUUCGUGACGGUGUAGAGAACUUCCGAAAUCUGCUGUGAACUUACUCGACAAGCUUCUUUCUAUAGAGCCUGAAAAACGUGCGAGUGCUACAUUUGCUCUUCAAUCCGAGUAUUUCUAUACCAAACCUUAUGCUUCUGAUCCUGCAAGCUUUCCCCAGUACCCGUCGAGCAAGGAGAUCGAUGAAAAACUUCUUGAGGGCGCACACAGAAAGAAACCUAAUGGCAGACUUCGGGCAUCUUUGACUUCACGGAAUGUGAGAAAAGGCCAAAGAACUUUGCUGGAACAAAUAGAGGCACGCCGGAGUGCUUAUUUUCAUGGCCCUGGAUUAGCUGACAUUAAUGAUACAUCUUCAGAUAUUUCCCAAACCACAGAUGUAUCUCAAGCUGACACCGUUUGCACGCUGCCAGUAUUGGCGACUACAUCGGAUGGGACCCUCGGGUGGUCAACAAAACGAUGAAAACACGUCAGCUUUGUGACCCCAACAGGUCAAGAUGUUCGGUCAAUAGAGCCGAUUCUUUAGCAAAAUACAACUGAUCAAGAUUUAUCAUCUGUUCAUCCUCAAAAAGAAAGGAUACGAUAUUCAGGACCUAUGAGAAUUCAACCGCAUAGAAACAACGUAUGGCUAGGUGCUCCUAGAUCACGCUUUUCACGAGAUGCAGAACUAUGAUACAAUUGUGCUUGGAUGAUUGUACUAAAGAAUGAGGAUAGGUAGGUAAAGAAGAGAAGAGAAAUGGAAUUGAAGUAACAUGCAUAGGAGAAAUGGGGAGUGGAAUAUAAAUCACAAGUAAAGGUUGUCUUCUAAUUUAAGAAGGUUGAUGAAACAUAAAAGAUCAAUCACAAAUAAGAACUUCGUGACGUCUGUAAGAUACUUAGAGGAUAACCAGAAAGCUUCACAUUUGGCUUGAAGUGCACAUCAACGUGGCUACACCGAAAGAUAAGGGACUAUUUGUUCAUGUCGUCAAUUGGUCAUAGUUCUUGAUGGAAAUACUUGGCUUAUGAAGCUCCGCACAGAGAAUAUUGAUGGUAAAAAAAAGGUUUAGUGUUACUGUAUGGUAUGAUAUGAUUCAAGUCGAAGAAAUUUUGUUAGGUGAUUGUUUUUCAAAUUGGUUGAGGUUAUUGGUUACGGAGUUUCAAAAAGCAGAAGUAUUAGAUUAAUAGACUUUCUGUUGAUUUUUUGAAAUUA